AUUGAACGCUGGCGGCAGGCUUAACACAUGCAAGACGAGCGGGGUGAUGGUGCUUGCACUAUCACUUAGCGGCGGACGGGUGAGUAAUGCUUAGGAAUCUGCCUACUAGUGGGGGACAACAUCUCGAGAGGGAUGCUAAUAACGCAUACGUCCGAUGGGAGAAAGCAGGGGAUCACUUGUGGCCAUGCGCCAAUAGACGGACCUAAGUCGGAUUAGCUAGUGGGUGGGGUAAAGGCCUACCAAGGCGACGAUCUGUAGCGGGCCUGAGAGGAUGAUCCGCCACACUGGGACUGAGACACGGCCCAGACUCCUACGGGAGGCAGCAGUGGGGAAUAUUGGACAAUGGGGGGAACCCUGAUCCAGCCAUGCCGCGUGUGUGAAGAAGGCCUUAUGGUUGUAAAGCACUUUAAGCGAGGAGGAGGCUCUUUUGGUUAAUACCCAAGAUGAGUGGACGUUACUCGCAGAAUAAGCACCGGCUAACUCUGUGCCAGCCGCCGCCGUAA
rnacentral:rRNA from 1 species